rnacentral:lncRNA from 10 species
GCAUUAAUUUACCAGAGGUCGGGUCAGGCUGUCUUAACGCAGGCAGAGGGGUGUGGCAGAUCUCCAACCGCUCGGGGUCCCGUGAUUUCCAUUAAUGAAUUCGCACACUGGCGUUACCACUCAACACACCGACGACUGCAUUGUACCAUCACUAGAAUCUAGUGCUUAAUGGCAACUCGCCCUUUCCAAAGGGUCUCAACAAGAAGCAAGACGAUAGACAACAAUUAGCUAAAUCUACAUUAUUGGACAUGAUGGCUAAGUAAAAAACAUCACACCAGAAUCAAGGGUAUGUAUUAUAUUUUAUCAAGGAUAUAGCUUCUGAAGGAUGUUAAAGUAGGUCAAUGAGGGGCUGCAUAUACCUUCACUUGAAAUAUUGUUCCUUUGUUAAUUUUUCUAGGCUUUCUCCCAUCUAUCAAUCUUUAUCAACCCAAAGUUUGCAA